GGAUAACCCGGGGAAACCCGGCCUAAUACCCCAUGCCGCCCGGACCGGGCAUCCGGUCCGGGCGAAAGGAGGAAUCCGGUGGCGGCUGGGCAUGCGGCGCAUUAGCUUGACGGCGGGGUAACGGCCCACCGUGGCGACGAUGCGUAGGGGUUCUGAGAGGAAGGCCCCCCACACUGGAACUGAGACACGGUCCAGACUCCUACGGGAGGCAGCAGUGAGGAAUAUUGGUCAAUGGGCGGAAGCCUGAACCAGCCAAGUCGCGUGAGGGAAUAAGGCCCUACGGGUCGUAAACCACUUUUGCCGGGGAGCAAGGGCCGGGACGUGUCCCGGCCCGGAGAGUACCCGGAGAAAAAGCAUCGGCUAACUCCGUGCCAGCAGCCGCGGUAAUACGGAGGAUGCGAGCGUUAUCCGGAUUUAUUGGGUUUAAAGGGUGCGUAGGCGGGCUUUUAAGUCAGCGGUAAAAAUUCGGGGCUCAACCCCGUCCGGCCGUUGAAACUGGGGGCCUUGAGUGGGCGAGAAGAAGGCGGAAUGCGUGGUGUAGCGGUGAAAUGCAUAGAUAUCACGCAGAACCCCGAUUGCGAAGGCAGCCUUCCGGCGCCCUACUGACGCUGAGGCACGAAAGUGCGGGGAUCGAGCAGGAUUAGAUACCCUGGUAGUCCGCACAGUAAACGAUGGAUGCCAGCUGUCCGGGCCGAAUGGGGCCUGGGU
rnacentral:rRNA from 1 species